UCCCGCCCGCCCCGUUGGGCCCUCCUCCAUGAUGUCUGCCUGUAAUCCUGAGUCCACCUAAGAAAAUGAGCUGCCCUGCAAACUUUUGCAGUACCGAGCUUGUGCGUGCGUUGCCCCUCCGUGUGUUGAAACGCCUUUGGAAUUCAGCAGUGCAAGGAGGCCAGUGUCCUCACCCCAGGACACAGUGAUCCAUGAAAGGUUUGACUUGAGGACACCAGCCACCAGAACUGAUACUAACUAUCAAGAGUAUCCAGGUAAUUCCUCCUGUUCAGCCUUCCUGUUUGUGGAAUGACCUGCUGGCUUUCAUCUGGCUUCCCAUGCAGGUUUGCAUAAAGGGAGAGAAAUUCAAGCAGCAAGUGUGAGUCUGUGGUAACCUUCUGGGGGAUUCAGAUUUCUUAUUUCAAAUUCAAGUUGAACAACAACAAAUGCUGGUGAGGACGUGGAGCAACAGGAACUCUCAGUCAUUGCUGCUAGGAAUGCAAAAUGGUACGGCCGCUUUGGAAGACAGUUUCUUGUCAAAUUAAACA